CUCUCCUCAUAAGGCCUGCUCUCUUGUCCUCUAAUAAUUUGUGUGGCUCUCCUCUGGACUCUCUCAAACUUCUCCGCAACCUUUCUGAAUUGCAGACCCCAGAAUUUGAUGCA